GACGAACGCUGGCGGCUUGCUUAACACAUGCAAGUCGAACGGUAAGGCCCUUCGGGGUACACGAGUGGCGAACGGGUGAGUAACACGUGGGUGAUCUGCCCUGCACUUCGGGAUAAGCCUGGGAAACUGGGUCUAAUACCGGAUAGGACCACUGCCUGCAUGGGUGGUGGUGGAAAGCUUUUGCGGUGUGGGAUGGGCCCGCGGCCUAUCAGCUUGUUGGUGGGGUGAUGGCCUACCAAGGCGACGACGGGUAGCCGGCCUGAGAGGGUGACCGGCCACACUGGGACUGAGAUACGGCCCAGACUCCUACGGGAGGCAGCAGUGGGGAAUAUUGCACCAUGGGCGCAAGCCUGAUGCAGCGACGCCGCGUGAGGGAUGACGGCCUUCGGGUUGUAAACCUCUUUCAGCACCGGCGAAGCGCAAGUGACGGUAGGUGCAGAAGAAGGACCGGCCAACUACGUGCCAGCCGCCGCCGUAACAC
rnacentral:rRNA from 1 species